GACGAACCGUGCGAACGUUAUUCGGAAUCACUGGGCUUAAAGCGCGUGUAGGCGGCCCGGUAAGUCCGCUGUGAAAGUCCAGGGCUCAACCCUGGGAUGCCGGUGGAUACUGUCGGGCUCGAGUCCGGAAGAGGCGAGUGGAAUUCCUGGUGUAGCGGUGAAAUGCGCAGAUAUCGGGAGGAACACCGGUGGCGAAGGCGGUUCUCUGGGCCUUACCUGACGCUGAGGAGCGAAAGCAUGGGGAGCAAACAGG
rnacentral:rRNA from 1 species